rnacentral:tRNA from 2 species
GCACGGGUGGGAGAGCGGCUAAUUCCAGCGGUCUGUAAAACCGCCGCCUGACGGCUACACAGGUUCGAAUCCUGUCCCGUGCACCA